AGCGAUUAUGGUGGAAGGCGCAUGCGCUAAUCUGCGGCCCCCUGGCCAAACUCCUUAUUUCGUGGCUUGAAGCAUCUUGGUUUGGUGGGCCAACGCUGUCAGCUGCUUCCUCUCCUCGCCGAAUCCAUCCAGAAGUUGGGCGCAUAAAACGACGCAGGUUCAUUGCGAUUAGCUUGAAUUGUGUAUUCCGCUGCGGUAUAAGACAGGACGGGGCCCUUGCUCCAUCCUGUGGCCGAUGAGUUCACCUGCCGAGGAAGCCGAGCGAGAAGCGUCGAGUUAGAGGAGAGAAAGGAGUAGCUACCGCCAUGGAUGAAGCUAGUCAGGCUCCAGCCAUGGAGUCCUCUUACUACGGUGAGAACCGCACGAGGCCGCGAGUCGUCUGAAGAUCAUCCCGGUACCUAGAAUCUCAAGUCCCAGACUGUAAUCUUGCUGACGGAGAGUACAUCCUCGUGCCGG